CUCCCUGGAAAUGGGCAAAGAGACACCUUGGUGGUGGUGUUUUGCUUAUAUCACUCAGGGAGGACCAGACGACAGUCCUUUGUCCAUUGUAGUUUAAUGCCAUGCUAAGCAGCUAAAGCUGCCUUAUGCCUGGGACUCAGCA